CGGGGGGCUGCAGUCGCGAAAACUCCGCAAUACGCGAAGGCGUGACGGGGCUAUCCCGAGUGCCGUCCGCUGAGGAUGGCUUUUCCCCAGUGUAGAUAGCUGGGGGAAUAAGGAGAGGGCAAGUCUGGUGUCAGCCGCCGCGGUAAUACCAGCUCUCCGAGUGGUGGGGACGUUUAUUGGGCCUGAAGCAUCCGUAGCCAGCUGAGCAAGUCCCCAGUUAAAUCCAGCGAUUUAAUCGUUGGACUGCUGGGGAUACUGUCCGGCUAGGGGGUGGGAGAGGCCGACGGUAUUCCCGGGGUAGGGGUGAAAUCCUAUAAUCCCGGGAGGACCACCAGUGGCGAAGGCUGUUGGCUAGAACAUGCCCGACGGUGAGGGAUGAAAGCUGGGGGAGCGAACCGGAUUAGAUACCCGGGUAGUC
rnacentral:rRNA from 1 species